rnacentral:rRNA from 1 species
UACGAAGGGGGCUAGCGUUGUUCGGAAUUACUGGGCGUAAAGGGCGCGUAGGCGGCACAGCAAGUCGGGAGUGAAAGCCCGGGGCUCAACCCCGGAACGGCUUCCGAAACUGCUGAGCUAGAGUGCGGAAGGGGCAACCGGAAUUCCCAGUGUAGCGGUGAAAUGCGUAGAUAUUGGGAAGAACACCCGAGGCGAAGGCGGGUUGCUGGGCCGACACUGACGCUGAGGCGCGAAAGCCAGGGGAGCAAACGGG